rnacentral:tRNA from 1 species
GGAAGGUUCGCAUAGUGGUCUAGUGCGCACGCUUGGAAAGCGUGUAUACCGCAAGGUAUCAAGGGUUCAAAUCCCUUACCUUCCGCCA